CUCUUUGGGGAGACAAACUGCAUCCCAAUCAUGACAGCCAUGUUGUUUAGAUAUUUUCAAUACUGUAAAUUUUGUUUAGCACUGUUAUGGGCUGAAUCCUCUCUCUCUGUUGAAGUUCUAGCCUGCAGCACUUCAGAAUGUGGCUGCAUCUAGAGGUAGGGUCUUUAGGGAGGCCGCUAGCCAUAAUGCUAAGUAAAAUAAAUCAGACACGGGAUGUUAAAUAUCACACAGUUUCUCUUAUAUGGGAAACCCAAUGUAUAAAUCAUCUAUAAAGCCAAAGGAAUGAGAAGUGGCAGGAAACAGGUAGGCAGACUUUGUGGAAAUGGGAAGAGGCUCUGAGAGUGGGGAAGACAAGAAGGAGGAGCGGGGAGGGAGAAAUAAAGAUAAGUAAGAUGUGUUAUGCAUACAUACCUAUCCCCCAUGAUGAAUGCAUUUAUAUUUAAUUAAUUAAUUUUUUUAUUUAUUGGUUCUGGGGAUCGAACUUGGGACGUUGCACUUGCAAGGCAGGCAGCAGCACCACUGAGCUAAAUCCCUGGCCCUGCAUUUAUUAUGUAUUACAAAGGUAUACCGAUGAAAAAUUUUAAGAAGAGAGAAGCAAAGUAGGUAAAAUCUAUUUUCUCCCUUCUCAAGCACUCUUAGUCAUUAGAAGAAGUAAAAUGUUGGAUAUUACCAUUCCUGGAACUACAAAGAUGUGCAAAAAUGUAAAAGUAAAUAUAAAAUAAAGUAAGGUGAUUUAGGUGUACCCUGAUCCUCCCUGCAUGGAGAGAGGAUCAGCAUACCUGCACACAGAGCAGAGACCAUGUGAAGACACACAGAGGACAUGGGCUCUACAAGUCACAGAGGUAGGCCUCAGAGAAACCCCUUCUGUUGUCCAUCCUGUUGAUCGGCCCCUGUUCCAGAUCAGAUUGGGGUUAGGGGUGGGGUUAAGCCUAACAUCCUGGCCAUGACUGACAGGUCACGUCCUGUCGACCAGUCUCCAUUCGGAUCAGGUUACAUCCUGUUUCCCGUCUUCAUUCCAGCUCUUUGUAAUUUGACAGGUCACAUCCUAUUUACCAGCCGGUCUGCCCAUGCCCUGAUCGCCUGCCUUGUGGAGGAUGUGAACUGCAGAAGGAAGAUGUGGGAUGAGGAACCAGAUUUGCCACACAGGUCUUUGGAGCCAGGGCCAUAUCCUCUUGAAGUUCUCUCCUCUAGAAAAUUCUGAGCAUUAAUAAAAAUGUCCUACAAUGGAGGAAUGUUGCACAUUCGUCCUUGCCCCUCGAUUUCCACUGGUUGGAUUUAGAGCAGCCUGCAGUCUCUCUCCUCACCUCCUCUCAGAGGCCCUCGAGAUGCAAUGCUUACCUUGUAAGGUGGUGUACAUUUAUAAUCCCAGCACCCAGGAGGCUGAGGCAGGAAAAUUGCCUCAAGUUUGAGACCAGCUAGUUCUACACAGUGAGCUCAAAUCCAGCCUGGACUACAUAAGGAGACCCUGUCUCAAAACAACAACAACAACAACAACAACAACAAAACACCUGAGUUUAUUCCUGGUACCAAAAAAAGAGAGAAAGAAAGAAAGAAAGAAAGAAAGAAAGAAAGAAAGAAAGAAAGAAAGAAAAAGAAAGAAAGAAAGAAAGAAAGAAAGAAAGAAAGAAAGAAAGAAAGAAAGAAAAGAAGAAAGGAAAGAGAAGACAUAAUGUUUCCAUUGCCCCAGAACAGGCUCUAAGUAUAGGGCCUCAAAUAAACCACCUACAGUCAUUCAGAUUUCAGGAGGAAUUUUUUUUUUUAAAUAGGCCAAUGAUUCUUGCUUUUGGACCACCAGGGGCAGAUGCUCUGGCUCUGUUCCGGCCGACCCUAGCAGCUGACCACAUCCAAAGUGACUUGCUCCACCUCCAAUGAGGAGCACAGCCUGCACCGC
rnacentral:lncRNA from 1 species